rnacentral:rRNA from 1 species
GAUGAACGCUGGCGGCGUGCCUAAUACAUGCAAGUCGAGCGAAAGGACGAGAAGUUUGCUGCUCGGAUGUGAGGGGCGGAGGGGGGAGUAACACGUGGAUAACCCACCUAUAAGACGGGGAUAACCUGGGAAAACCGGAGCAAAUACGGGAGAAUAUUUUGAACCGCAGGGGGCGAAAGUGAAAGACGGUCUUGCUGGCAGGUCUAGCUGGAUCCGCGCUGCAUGAGCUAGUAGGGAAGGUAACAGCUUACCAAGGCAACGAUGCGUAGCCGACCUAAGAGGGUGAUCGGCCGCACUGGAGCUGAGACGCGGUCCAGGCUCCUACGGGAGGGCGCAGUAUGGUAUCUUCCGCAGUGGGCGAGAGCCUGGCGGAGCGGCCCCGCGUGAGUUGUGAAGGUCUUCGGAUCGUAAUGCUCUUUUACUAGUGGUGAACAUAUGUGUAAGUUACUGUGCCCAUCUUGACGGUACCUAAUCAGAAAGCCACGGCUAACUACGUG